rnacentral:rRNA from 1 species
UACGGAGGGGACUAGCGUUGUUCGGAAUUACUGGGCGUAAAGCGCACGUAGGCGGAUUUGUAAGUCAGGGGUGAAAGUCCCGGGGCUCAACCUCGGAACUGCCUUUGAUACUGCAAAUCUCGAGUCCGGAAGAGGUGAGUGGAAUUCCUAGUGUAGAGGUGAAAUUCGUAGAUAUUAGGAAGAACACCAGUGGCGAAGGCGGCUCACUGGUCCGGUACUGACGCUGAGGUGCGAAAGCG